CCAUCCCGAGAGCUCCAGUCUAUCGCCAAAACAGUGACGCUGAAGGUUUCUGCUUGACCGUACGAACCGAUGGAACGAGCCUCUGGUUCACAGAACACUCUCUGAGAAUGACGCAGUUCGGAUCUUGGAGAUUAGACCAUCUAGAAGCUUUCGGGGGUUUUACGGCCACUGGUGUCUACUCGUCUAAAGAGAGUUCAUGUGCUCAAAAAUCGAGUGGCUGAUGAAAUAGCGAGGAAUGUCAUGAGGGAUGUUCGUCUGUCUUCUUACGUUGUUCAUGGGGUCCUAGUUGGCUCCUUCAGAUGUUACAGAAUGAAGCUCCUCGCGUCUAAGAAUUGUUCGUGUGGCUCCAGCAUAUGUUUUAUCUCCUUCUUCUUAAGGACUCUAGCUGGCGGGAAUCUCUAUGUGAUUACAUUGUGUUUGGUGCCUGGUGGUACUGUGGAACUGGGAGGGUCCUUCUUCGGCUGCCUCUGUUGUCGUUAUUGAGAAGCAAGUACCGCGUCUGAGCAGAUGUGAGUGAGACAGGUUAAAGCUAAAAGCCUAUCUGGUUGUUGAGGAUCGAUAAGAUUCGACCCACGUACGACUUUUCCUUAAAUCUCCUUAGUUUAUUAUAUUUUUUUAAAAGUUUUUAUUUUGUUACAAAAAUAUAUGGGUACUCUAUUUAUAAUUUAUUUUUGAGAUCAGAUUCCUUUGCCAGGCUUUUUAUAUAGCAAAAAACACCAAACAUAAGAUUGAUUUAUUACUUUAAAUGCAUGAAAACGAACCAUACCAUACGCGUUUAUGCGUUAAGCAAACAAAAAAACAUAUUUGUCUUAUUGGUGAAUACAGUCACCUCUUUCUUGCAUUCUAGAUGUUGCUGUGAUCUGGUUCAUUGAAGCUUUACAAGUAAAACAAAAUAAAAAUCUUCUAAUAUAAAAAAAAACUGAAACAGGAUUUAAAAAUAAUAUAGAAAUAAUAAUAUAUAAAUUCUUCUUUUUUCUUUAGCAACAUAAUAUAGAAAUUUUUGUAAAAUUUAGAAAUUCAAAAAAAAACUUUUUCUGUAAAAUUAUUCACGAAAUUUGCAAAAUGAAGUUAAAGAUAAUAACAAUAAAUAUCCGAAUAUGGUUAUCAAACAAGAAAACCCAAACGUAAGAUAGUUUAUUGUUCAAGUGAUAAAAAUAGCCAAUCAUUUCCUGAUUAGUGCAUCUAAAAACAAAAACCAGUUUCCUAACAUAAAGUUUUUAAAUUAUGUUAAAUGCACUCCAAAACCAUCAACAUCAUUAUUUUUAAUGAAUCUC